GGUAUGAUUGCUUACUGGUAGAGCAUUUGCCUAGCAUGCAUAAUGCCUUGGGUUCUAUCCCCAGUCCCAUUU
rfam:Ictidomys tridecemlineatus contig016178, whole genome shotgun sequence.